ensembl:lncRNA
CUGCCGGAUGCCCUUCGGUCAGGGUGAUUGUAAUCAAUGAGAUGCCCACGUUAUCAGACAGCUGUUUCUUGGUACGCUUUUUUCUCAACAUCCGAGCCCUGGAAUGUUGAACAAAGACAAACACAAAAAGAAAUGAAUGACAAAAGACUUUGUCAACUCAUGUACACGUUUUGUUUACACACACACUCAAACCCUGGCAACAGAAAAGGUUGCUGAGUCGUACUCUUUUAUAACAGGCACUAAUUGCCAGAUGUCCCUGUCUGUCUGCCAUUUUCCUGCUCGGCGCUCCUCAUCUUACCGACUUUGCCUUUUAAAAGCCUUCGCUGAGGUCGCCGAGCUAAAGACUUUUAGGACACAGGAAAACAACCAACUCACAGACUCAGUCUGGAAGACCCUGUGCAGCAGCCCACCGGGCCUCUGCAGACUCCAGGCUGCAGAAUGACGGACACCACCGUCAAAUCUGUGCGCAGCCUCAACAACCUGCACAGCCUGGACCUUUCUCUUUG